GACGAACGCUGGCGGCGUGCCUAAUACAUGCAAGUAGAACGCACAGUUUAUACCGUAGCUUGCUACACCAUAGACUGUGAGUUGCGAACGGGUGAGUAACGCGUAGGUAACCUGCCUGGUAGCGGGGGAUAACUAUUGGAAACGAUAGCUAAUACCGCAUAAUAUUAAUUAUUGCAUGAUAAUUGAUUGAAAGGUGCAAUUGCACCACUACCAGAUGGACCUGCGUUGUAUUAGCUAGUAGGUGAGGUAACGGCUCACCUAGGCGACGAUACAUAGCCGACCUGAGAGGGUGAUCGGCCACACUGGGACUGAGACACGGCCCAGACUCCUACGGGAGGCAGCAGUAGGGAAUCUUCGGCAAUGGACGAAAGUCUGACCGAGCAACGCCGCGUGAGUGAAGAAGGUUUUCGGAUCGUAAAGCUCUGUUGUAAGAGAAGAACGGGUGUGAGAGUGAAAGUUCACACUGUGACGGUAUCUUACCAGAAA
rnacentral:rRNA from 1 species